CGGCUCAGAGGCGCUCUGACUUUCAUUCACUCCAGAGUCCUACACAGUCAAGGACCUGUGCAGACGGCUGCAAGACAGGCUCUGAAUAGCACAACACGGACAACUUUCUCACUUGUGAUAUUCUAAGAGGAUCUGUUCGUUGGGAUUAUAUUCUUCUAGGACUAUUAAAUACUAUUAUAGAAAAAGUCGUGCGUCUUAAUUCUGUUUAAUUGUAACAGCUACGCUUCUUGUUUGAUAUAUUAGUAAGCUGGGCUGAAGUUUGAAGCCUGUUUUUUAGAGGGUGAAGAACAAGUGCAAUGCGCUUCAGACUUGUCUCUUGGGAUUGUCCCACUUGCGCCUGAGGAGCUACAGUAUGUCGAGCUGCCGCACAGAUUUUGUUCAAGAGGACGCAGUCCAGUGUGAAUAACAAGAAUCAACUUCCAGCCUCUUCAGCUUUUCAUAGUUACAAGCAAGUGCAGCACGGAGUCUGACUGAGUCCGCUGAGCAGCUCAGACACCCCGGUUUCUCUCCCCGAGGGGAUGGUUGUGGAUCCUGUGGGGCCAGGAGCGAUUCUGCGGCUCCUACAGAAUAGCACCUUUUUCUUGUUCGGGGUUAAAUCGAAAUUAAAGGGAGAUGAGAGCCGCACUUUGUUACUUCCUGCUGUGGACGACGUACCUGCUGCUGGCCACCUCUGAGGAAGUGGAGUUUCCCCAGGAGCUGAUAGACAGACUGUCCCACAGUGAAAUCCACAGCAUCAGCGACCUCCAGCGGCUACUGGACAUUGACUCCGUAGGUACGGGAAACAAUGUUAUUGAGGAGCCCAAGCACCACAAGCACCACAACCACCAUAAGAACUACUCCCGCCAGCAUGGUUACUACAAUGACCUGAAGAGCUCUCAGCUCCACAGCCGACGCAAGAGGAGCAUCGAGGAGGCGGUCCCGGCGGUGUGUAAGACACGGACGGUGAUCUACGAGAUUCCCAGGAGCCAGGUGGAUCCCACGUCUGCCAACUUCUUGAUAUGGCCGCCAUGUGUGGAGGUGAUGCGCUGCACGGGCUGCUGCAACACGAGCAACAUGCGCUGUCAUCCUUCCCGCAAGCACCACCGCACCGUUAAGGUAGCAAAGGUGGAGUACGCGAAGAGGAGACCCAAGCUGAAAGAGGUCUUUGUGCGAUUAGAAGACCACCUGGAAUGUGUGUGCACAUCACAGCAUAAUGUGGUGGAGCACUCAGAUGCAGAAACAGGCCACCAUAGGGCUAAAGGUAAAAAAAGGAAACCUAAAAAGCUAAGGCCCAGCAAGGAUUUAUUGGCGACAUAAUAAAGUUGCACUCAUUACCCAAAGUCCACUGGAGAGCUGUGAAGGGAACAGUGGACGUGAGGUGAGGCCAAUCAGAACAAGGGAAUUCAGCAUGGGAGGGACCUAAAUAGAGGAUGCCACCAACAGGAGACCUGCUCUGUCCUUUUCCCCACUGCCAUGCAACCUUCGUUUUAAAAAGACAAACUUUUCUGUUAAGACGAGAGACUGAAAAUAGCCAACAGACAAAAAUAAAUAAGAUGCCAAAGGUGCUUUUUUAAAAACAGUAACCAGGGAUGACGACUUCCUCUGUGGUACGUCACCUACCCAGACAACUGACCCAAUGCCGCUGAAUAAGAAGAAAAGAGAAAGAUGCUGUAGCUCGGGCAGGGCAGAAAGAGGCCGAAGGGAGAUGAUGAAAGCAAUUUGUGUUGAACAUUUUGAGACUUUGUUUAAACAAGACGCACAAAAAGAAACUGCUAUGAAACAGUUGAAUCAAGCUUUCGUGGGAAUCUGGUGCUCAGACUCCAAAACAGCGGUGGAUGACCUCCAGCUGGGCAACAUAAAAGUGCCCUGUCCUGUUUAAAUGACUCUUGCAUACACAGGAAAAAAGAAAGAGAUAUAGGCAAAACAAUGGAAAGAGAUAAAGAGAGAGACAAAUGGAGAUGUUUUUUUUCUUCCAAAAGACUAUGGAGUAUCAAACAUUUAAAGUUUUGGAUGUUUGCUCUGAGUAAAGAGGAAAUCUUCUCUGAGACCCCUGGUGGUCUGUGACUUUGCCCACUUGCUAUGUACAGUUAAAGUUGAAAAGGAAGAUGCACCGCUACUUACAAACUAUUUAUAUGUGUGGACGUUUGCUUUCUGUCUCUUCCAAUACAAAAGAAAGAACAAAAAUAUGUUUUAAUGAUUUUGGAGACAUGCAAAAGCUCUGUGUGGUCCGGUUCUUUGUAACCAUCAGUAUCACAAUCUCAACGUCAUUUUUUUAGUCAAUGUUAUUGUUGUCAUCCAUGUUUCUUAUUAUAUUACAGUAUAUCUGAAUGAUGUCAAGUCUUGUAUAUGGUUUGGAUAUAUGUGUGCAAGGAGGAGAUGUGAGAGUCAGUACAGGAAGAUGCUUUAUUUUUGUUAUGAAAUAUAUUAAGCUUACUUAUAUCUGAGCAGGAAUUAUCUUUAUUUCUUUUGAUGUGGUUGAAUGCCUGUAUUUAAUCCAUUGGAAAAGAUGCAAAAAUGUGGGCAGGGGGUGGAAUAGACGAGUGAGAAAAGUCUGCCCGUGCUGUGAAGACGGGGAGGGGUAGAGAACAUGGCAACUUCAUAGUGAGUGGCUGUACCGUAGCUUAUUCUAAUGUACAGCCAUAUAAGGACUGCCUUAUCCUUUAUGUAACAAGUGGAAUUUAACUAAAACAUGCAUACAGCACAUUGAAGUGUGUUCAUGCCAAUCACACAAAACAUGUAAGAGCAACUCUAGUGUGCAUGUGUACCUGAAUGAGGCAGAAUAGACAGGGUGUGUGCGCUCACUCACACAAUUUCUCUCUUACAUGAGGCUAUUUUUCACCCAUAUCACUCUUAACAUUGAUAAGGAAGAUGCCCGCCCGUUAUGCUUCACAAGCACACAUGUUGUGCCUGCAAUGAGCAAAGUCCACCUUAAAGAGUGAAUGAGCGAGCAAAGCAAAUCGAAAAGUGCAUGAAUGGGCUCCUUGUCUGGCCAGGUUUUACUCCUCUGUUGACAGGAGAACAAAUCUCUGAUGGCCCCUGUGAAGGUACUCACACCUUUUGCAGCCACAUACCAUCAAGAUAGAUGAUGAUGAGUGCUCUGAUGUGGACUGAAAACAGUACAGCGCUGGCCUGAACCCGUGCCCCGAUGGAACAAUCAAUUACUUUCUUACUGGUUUCUGUAACGGUGAUGAAUGUGUAACUCGGCCAACACAAUACAAAAACAACGGUCAUCUUCCACCCAGCAUUCAAAUGAGGAAGUCAAAGGCGAAAGAGUGAGUCACUGCAUUGUGAAGUGAGUCAAGUGAAAGUCAAAUGGCAAAACACACACGCACACACACACACACACACACACACACACACACACACACACACACACACACACACACACACACACACAGCCCACUUGUGAAUGAACUAAUCCUCAGUUGACUGGUGCUAUAUGUAAAAGGCUGAUGGUUCAUCACUGUUCACAUAUACAUCGAUGUAAAGCUAGUGUUCUCGGUAAACCAGGGACCACGCUUAGAGCUAUUUGAUUAAUGAAAAUGCCAUUACACUAUCACUAAGCCUUUAUUGCUUUUCUUGGGGCCUUCCAUUGGAUAAAGACAGCAAUAAUCAUAAUUUAUAUAUUUAUGUUUUCAACAAUAAAUAUAUUUCUGCUUAUGAAAUUGUU